GGUUCGGUCUCCGAACGAGGCGGAGCCGCCUUGUUGCUGUGGCACAGGGUUGGUGCUCGCGUUUGAGUUGUCUGUACAUGUUUUGGAGGGCUCAGCCAGCGGCAUCAUCAAAUUGUCCUACUGCAGGAGACUUCUAAAAAUACUGUGAAAUCCACGUAUCAUACCAAGGAAAAAAAACCCCAUAACCUUAAGUUGCUUUUUAAUGUAAAUUAUAGAGUUAACGUUUUAACUAACGAUAUAUCCUUUGUUUUUUUAGACAGUGACACAGCAGAAUAAAUGGCGAUGUAUUAAAAAACAGAGGGGAAAAAAAAAGACAACCCACAUCAUCUCCCCAAAAAGCUUCCUGUGGCCUUAAUAAGCCUUUCUUCCCCCUCCCCCCCUUGCAAUGCUGAUCUCAGUGAGCUAUAGUACUUCUGGAAGAACGGGGAAUACAAUUAAAAAAAAUAGCUAUGAUUCUAGGCUCUUAACCUGCAAGUAAAGAUGAGGAUAUGGUUGGAUUCAUGUAGGAAGUUGUCGAGUGCAUUCACUGAGUGUUGAAUUAGCUUGUAUAAUAGCCUGAGCCACACAUAAGAUUACUGAACUAAAAUUAUUGAAUCUUUACAAACCAGUAGUAACCCAAUAACUGUGAAGUUUAAAGUAAGAAUGUUUAUCACACCCACUAAGUGGAAGCUUAACUCGAGGUUUUCCAUAGCUUAAAUUGUUUUUGUUAAGUGAAGCAAAAUGUGUGAAGAGUUAUCUUUGAAGGAUUGCUAAAUUUAUUUGAUCUGUGUAGUUUAGAGCAAGAAACUUUUUAAUGGGAGCAUGCUUAUUUUGAGUAUCGUACAUGGUAAAACAUCCUUUGUCAUGCAUUUCUUCUGGUUGAGUUGGUGAAUUUUGAUACUUACUCCCUGGUUGAAACAAUUCUUUAAACCAGUGGAAAUCAGUUCUUAAAGGACUGAAACCUUGGAAUGAUGAAUUUUCAUUGAAAAUAGUUUAAAAUUAAGUUCAACAUCAGGUACAUACAGUUAUUUCUACGGUGCUUUUACUGUGAGGUUGCAAGUGGGUAUAACUCACAACUGCAGUUACUUUAAAACUGCAUUUCUUGCUGCUUUUCUCCAGUGAGCUUGUUGGGUAGAGGUUGUUGACAAUUGUCUCAUACAUGUGUGUGAUUUAUUGGCCUGGUAAUAUGAAUCUGCUGGUGCCAAGUUUUACGUUUUUCACUCUUUGUUUUUAGGUAUGAUGGAGAGGAAGUUUUCAGUUGUGUCCAGUACAUUGUGCAUUAAGCACUUCAUGGAAGCAGUAUCACAUGUAGAAGAAUACUUGGUACACACAAGUGGAUUUUCCUGAAAGCUAUAGUGCGUGAACAGUUUCAAGUAAUGGGAAUGUGAGGCAUCCUGAAGAUUUCCUGGCAACAGGAAUUAUAACAGGAAAAUAGUCCAGAAGGAACUUAACUUUCAGAAGCUUUUAGCUUUUUUGGUGAUGAGCUGGACACUUUGUCAGAGCUGUCUGACAGAUGUGGAUGAUCAGUAACCAGGAAGAAGUGUAACACCUGAAAAGUUUUUGUGGCUUGGACUGGGCUGCCAUGCUUUUACAGCCUGCUGAAACAGCUGCUGCAACUUUGUUUAGUAGAUGCUGUUUUCAGAAACAGCAUGUAGACUGAAAUCAUGUCUGCAUAUCUAAAAUAGUGCCUUACCAAAGUAGUGAGCUACUCUCUCUAGGAAGGAUAGCAGCAAUAUUAGUGAAAUGAAUGUUGAGCAUUAAUACAUGGAAAAUCCCCUGAGCAGUUACUCUUUUAAAAUGUGGUAUUGAUUACACAUUCUUGCUGAUACUGAAAAUCCGUGAUAACUCAGGACAACAGAGCUCACAUGCAGGUGCCGUAAAGACAAGGGAGAGCGAAACGAGUACACAAAUGCAAUCCAAAGAAUCUGCGUUUUGAGGGUGAUGUCAUCUAGGAGAUGGGAGAAAGUAUAUAAGGUAAUGGUGUUAUGGAAGCACAAACCUGAAACACUUCUAUGAAAGAAAAAUGUAAUGUCUACAGAUUGCAUCGCAGUUUGUAUCUGUUGAGGGACCAAGGAGAUGGGGUUUUACAGACCAACAUUUCAGUGUGGAAAGAUGAGUACCACAACUGUGGUACUGCUUCUUUAGGAACACAUUGGCAAUAUUAGCUGCUUGCUGUGGGGGGGGGAAGAGACCACAUACAUUAGAACUUGUGCUUUAAGCAGUCACUUCAAAAGUACCAGUGCUGUAUCACAGUAGCAGCAUAUUUGCUGUAUUUGUCAAAUUGUCAGUCUUCCACAGAGGAACGAAGGCUCAAAAAUUGGUCACCAAGUAAGUGGGAUUUUCAAGACAGCUAUACAUAAGACUCCAUCUGCCUUAAAAUGUGAAGCCCAAUUGUCAGAAAUGCUUUAUAAAGGAAGAAACAUGUGAAUGGCAUAAUAACUAAAUAUUAAAAGAGCUACAGUGACUGAAUAAUUUUGAAAUGCACCAAAAUACAUAAAAACAACCUUAAAGUCUGCAGCCAAAAGUAACAGCACUGGGUGUUAGCAGCUCUCUAGAGAACUGGAAGAAUUCCUAUAACUUAUGGAGUGUGCCUGUGAUAAGGGACAAAUACCUUGUAAUGCCCAAUUUUCUGCCUAAGCAGUAUGAACAGGAAUACCACAUAAAGUAAUGAAAUGAAAAAUAGGUAUCCAUUAGAUUACUAAAAUGUAUGCUAAGGAACUGACAAAAUUAUAGGGGUAUAUUGACUCACUGAGCAUCUCCUAACCAUGACAUUUGGUUAUUAAUAAGCAGUGGCCAGCUGCUUUAGGUAAAGGCUGCUUUCAGCAAGCAGCUGUAAAUCAGUCUCUUGAGUGUUGGAAUCUGCACAAAUUUACUACAGAAUAGCUUUCCCUUCAUCUCUUUCAACAGCCUCUCUUUCUGUUAAAUGUUUCUGAGAAUGGUAGGUAUUUCUGUGUGCCAGGUUUUGUACAUGCUUUCUCUUGAAUAAAGAUGAGGAUGUGAAAAACUUGCCUGUUGCCCAUCAGGUUUGUAUCGCACCACGGUGUUCCCUGACUGCUUGUCAUUUGCAAGAGCCAUGAAGGCUGUGUGGCCUUGUGCUGCCUGUUGCAGCAUCUUCUGGACACAUGAUACUCCACAUUGUGCUUAAAUGAUGCCAGGAUAACAAACUUGGUAAUCACGUACUUCAAAAUUGGGAAGGGACUGGUCUCCAUUUGCCCACUGCAGUUCUGUGAAAAGUCUGGGUGCUGUUGGCAGCAUCUAGUGAAGCUGCUUGGUUGGUAAGUCCGAAAGUUGCCAGUCCUCUUACGGAGGUUAAAAAAAUAAAGGACAGGGAUGAUUAAUACAACAGCAAUAUUUGGUAAGUACUUUGUUAGGUACUCAGAGGGAUUUGCAUGACUUCAUUGCGGGGUCAGAUGAGUGUGAAAUGUGUUUUGGACUGUAAAAAGACCAUCUUUUUAUUGUUUGGGUUGAUAAGACAAAAUGUGAGAGCUUUUAAGGAGAUAAUGCCAUGUGUAUAUCCAGUUCAUCUUGUGAUGUUGGGGAUGAAAAAAGUUUCAGGAUUGUGAGUGACACUUCAGGUGCCCAAAGCACUUCAUGUUAAUCUUGUUCUAAAACCUCCAUUGGAGAUGGUCAUGGACGUAGGAUCAGCAGCAUUAGAAAAAGGGGGUCAGGGAAUUAAGUUGCUGUGCAUUUCUGUGGUGAAGGCCUGUCAAGAAACCGUGUUGUAAUCAUGAGAAUGAUUUGCCUCACUUAGCAUAGAGAAAGGUAGAUGUGGCCAGUGAUUAAGCAUAUUGCAUAUUGAGCUGCAAAACUUUAUGAAUAUUCUUGUGUGGCUACAGAAAAUGGGUCAUGAAUGAAAAAUGUGCAUUAGUAUUGAAAGUCUGGUAUUUGCAAACAUAAAUGGAUCUUUUAACCAUGAUACUCCAGAGGUUUUGGAAUGUGGGACUAGUGAAAGUGAUGCAAGAAGGUGAUUUUUGUAACCAGUUUUAAAAAGGCAAGUAGCUUGUUUUUGCUUUGUGGGAGGGAGGUAAUGUUUGUAAACCACUUGAGGAUUUAGUUCUGGUUUGGUUUUUGCAGUGAUGUUUUAUAAAAGUGAUUGAGAUGAGGAGUAAUUGUGAAGGGUUAUUCCGUGAUUCAUUUGGAACACAUGGCAUGAGAUUUCUCUCCUCAAAAGCACUUCAUUAAACUUCAGUUUUAAAAAACUAGAUUGUUAGAUUUAAAGUUUUAGCUGAAGAUUCGUGCAUUAAAGAGCAUAAAAGCAGUUUGCUUUUUUGCGUUCUAGUCUGGUGAAAUCUUUCACUAACCAUCACUAGUGUUGAGCUUAAAAGUGUUACAUGGCUGUUGGGCUGUGGUCCAAGAAAUCGAUGGUUAGACAAACUUCUGGAAUGUUGCCACGUAUCCCUCUUAGGGCAAAAAAGUAUUUUUUUUUUUUUUUAAAUUGAGUGGUGGGCUUACAAGCAAAAGGAGUACCUUCCAACUGCAAGGAAGAUACAAGAGUAGACUGCAUAAAUGCUUUGCUGUUAUUUAAUAAGGUCCUUGUUAAGGUGGGAGGUUUUGUCUUGUUGAGGAACUCGUCUUGCUGGUGAAGGCUGUGGAUCUAUAAACAAGAGUUCCAGGUGAGUCAAAGUAACCUAGCAGUGCUUAUCUUGCCACAGCACACGCACUGCUGUGGGAGUGCCAGUGCUGGUGCGAUGCCUGCUUGAAGUACCAGAUCUUAGUGAACUGGAAUUUCAGUGGAAGCUGUGCUGCCAUCCUGCAGAGAAGUGUGUGGCUGUGGCUACACCCAUAUUGUGUGCUGGUGUUGGACUUGCUGCCAUCUGGAGCAGGCAAGAUCUUAAUUGUGUAAGUUGUCCACGUAAAGUUGGAGUAUGUGUUUUGCCACUUAAUUUCAGUGCUGAUUUUUAAAUAUCAGUUGGUAGAGAAAGAUGCUCCUUAAGACAUUUAAACAUGGACACAGCAGAGUGAGCAGGUGUUUAUUUGACUUUGCCCAAGAAAAGGUAUUUCAAUUGAAGGGUGUUUAGCCCUGACUUCAGUAGUUUUUCUGCACACCCCCUCCCACAGACAGUUCAGAGGACAACAUUUGAGUUAUCCAGAGUAUGAAUGAAUUUAAGAGAUUAAUGGUGAUUUCAGAUGAGUGGAGUACAGAUGGAGGCCUUUGUAUGCUAUGUAAAUGCAUGUGUCUGAUGUGCAUUCUCUGCUUUUUGGUGUUACAACCAGUGUUACAAGAGUUGUUUGUCUGCCAUUGUCUGUUUCCCUUGGUUGAUAUAAAUGGGGAAAGUAAAAUUACAA